rnacentral:lncRNA from 1 species
CACUGAUAUACCCUAAAGUUUUUUUAUUUAUUUUCAGUUCGUUGAGAGAUACUUGCACAUUCUGGUGGCGUCUGAUGUCCUACUCGAGGGCUGGUCGGUGUCGGCGGAACCAAUUAAUUGCUUCAACAUGCAGCUCCCCAUCUGUGCUCUGCCGCUCCUAUUGGUUGCAGGAGCUCGGGCGACUGAAAAUAAAAAUGUUGACCAUAAAAUUGAGUGCUGCACGACGUUCUGCACGCCGCUGUCGCUGCAGCACGCGGCGUGUUGUGUUAUCAGAACGGUAUUGGUGAAAGUCGGCAUAUACGCUCAAUUAUCGAAACGUUUCUCAAACCAAAAACGCACUAAGAAACUAACCGACUUGGGUCACAAAUUUUCAACCAUACGGCAAAACAAUUUCAAUGAAAUAGUUGAUUUACUAGAUGUCCUACCGACGUCGGUGGUGGAGAAUGUGUUCUUGGUUCGAGAAAGACGAGCGUUCGCGCAUCAUCGUAGCUGUAAUGAUUGUGAAGGGCAUUUGUUUGCCACUGUAAGAUAAUAUUGACCAUGAAAAUCAUUUUUGUAAAUAUUAGGUUAGACUAAUUUAUUCAUUCAGUAUAAACUCGUGAGAUUUUUCCGGUAAAUGUGUGUUUAAUAUUGUAGAUGUCGAAUCGCGUUAAAGCUGUGUCGGAUGUGUGCAAUAAUAGGUCAUUCGUAAUUUAAUGGAAAAUAUUUUUAAGUUAAAGUGUUAACUGAGCGACACUAUAAAAGAUGAGUGAAACUCUAGUCAUUACAUGUAAGGCAUUGGAGUGCAACUUGUACUUCAAUUACUGCAGAAUAUAGAAUAUACACCAUGUCUGUUUUGAACAAUUGAAUGUUGUAUUAACGCGUUCUUUUUGCUUUGUCGGAGUUGUAGGUUUUUCGAGAUAUAAAUUAACUUGUUCAUUAUGUGAAUUACCUUAAAUUAUUGCCGUUUGUGUGUGUGAAAUGAACAUGUACAUAAUUUUGAUUGAUAAAAUACAAGGCAUUCAGUUUCAAAGCAA